CAGAGUAGAUGUUAUCGCGUAAAGUGCCGUGGGGACGGGGAGUUGCCGCACGGACGAAGCGGUUUUCCGCGCGGUGAUAGCAUCGCAUCCCGCUG
rnacentral:ncRNA from 1 species